ACGACCUUACUUGAACAAGAUCUGUUCUAUAGGCUCGUACCUUUGUAUCCUUGAUUUCUAAGGAGACAAGAAACCAUGUUUGGCGGAUGAACCGUGGCUGCCUGGCUGGAGAGUGAUUAACAGGCCCCUCAAGUUGGGUUUCCAGCAGCUUGUGGUGCAGUAGAUGAUCUUUUUGAUUUUGUUUUUGAUUUAUUGAUGCAGCUAAUAAGUAAUGAUAGUUA